GACAGAGGGUGCUAGCGUUGUUCGGAAUUACUGGGCGUAACGGGCGCGUAGGCGGCUCGUUUAGUCGGGUGUGAAAUCCCAAGGCUCAACCUUGGAACUGCAUUCGAUACUGGCGGGCUAGAGACCGGAAGAGGUGGGUGGAAUACCCAGUGUAGAGGUGAAAUUCGUAGAUAUUCGGAAGAACACCAGUGGCGAAGGCGACUCACUGGACACGUAUUGACGCUGAGGUGCGAAAGCGUGGGGAGCAAACAGG
rnacentral:rRNA from 1 species